GGUUAAGCGACUAAGCGUACACGGUGGAUGCCCUGGCAGUCAGAGGCGAUGAAGGGCGUGCUAAUCUGCGAUAAGCGCCGGUAAGGUGAUAUGAACCGUUAUAACCGGCGAUACCCGAAUGGGGAAACCCAGUGUGAUUCGUCACACUAUCAUUAACUGAAUCCAUAGGUUAAUGAGGCGAACCGGGGGAACUGAAACAUCUAAGUACCCCGAGGAAAAGAAAUCAACCGAGAUUCCCCCCAGUAGCGGCGAGCGAACGGGGAGGAGCCCAGAGCCUGAAUCAGCAUGUGUGUUAGUGGAAGCGUCUGGAAAGGCGCGCGAUACAGGGUGACAGCCCCGUACACAAAAAGCGCAUGUGCUGUGAGCUCGAUGAGUAGGGCGGGACACGUGGUAUCCUGUCUGAAUAUGGGGGAAAUUCAUCCUCCAAGGCUAAAUACUCCUGACUGACCGAUAGUGAACCAGUACCGUGAGGGAAAGGCGAAAAGAACCCCGGCGAGGGGAGUGAAAAAGAACCUGAAACCGUGUACGUACAAGCAGUGGGAGCCCCACCACCAAAGCAUUCUCUGGUGUUGAAGGCCCUGCAAAGCAGCAUCGCGGUGGCGGAGCGUCGUUUGCGACGCCCAACACACAAAAACAAGCGGUGAGUGCUUUGGGGUGGGGUGACUGCGUACCUUUUGUAUAAUGGGUCAGCGACUUAUAUUCUGUAGCAAGGUUAACCGAAUAGGGGAGCCGGAGGGAAACCGAGUCUUAAUUGGGCGUUAAGUUGCAGGGUAUAGACCCGAAACCCGGUGAUCUAGCCAUGGGCAGGUUGAAGGUUGGGUAACACUAACUGGAGGACCGAACCGACUAAUGUUGAAAAAUUAGCGGAUGACCUGUGGCUGGGGGUGAAAGGCCAAUCAAACCGGGAGAUAGCUGGUUCUCCCCGAAAGCUAUUUAGGUAGCGCCUCGUGAAUUCAUCUCCGGGGGUAGAGCACUGUUUCGGCUAGGGGGCCAUCCCGGCUUACCAACCCGAUGCAAACUGCGAAUACCGGAGAAUGUUAUCACGGGAGACACACGGCGGGUGCUAACGUCCGUCGUGAAGAGGGAAACAACCCAGACCGCCAGCUAAGGUCCCAAAGUCAUGGUUAAGUGGGAAACGAUGUGGGAAGGCCCAGACAGCCAGGAUGUUGGCUUAGAAGCAGCCAUCAUUUAAAAGAAAGCGUAAUAGCUCACUGGUCGAGUCGGCCUGCGCGGAAGAUGUAACGGGGCUAAACCAUGCACCGAAGCUGCGGCAGCGACACUCAGGUGUUGUUGGGUAGGGGAGCGUUCUGUAAGCCUGCGAAGGUGGCCUGUGAGGGUUGCUGGAGGUAUCAGAAGUGCGAAUGCUGACAUAAGUAACGAUAAAGCGGGUGAAAAGCCCGCUCGCCGGAAGACCAAGGGUUCCUGUCCAACGUUAAUCGGGGCAGGGUGAGUCGACCCCUAAGGCGAGGCCGAAAGGCGUAGUCGAUGGGAAACGGGUUAAUAUUCCCGUACUUGGUGUUACUGCGAAGGGGGGACGGAGAAGGCUAUGUUGGCCGGGCGACGGUUGUCCCGGUUUAAGCGUGUAGGUGUGUGUUCCAGGUAAAUCCGGUUCACUUUAACACUGAGGCGUGAUGACGAGGCACUACGGUGCUGAAGCAACAAAUGCCCUGCUUCCAGGAAAAGCCUCUAAGCAUCAGGUAACAUCAAAUCGUACCCCAAACCGACACAGGUGGUCAGGUAGAGAAUACCAAGGCGCUUGAGAGAACUCGGGUGAAGGAACUAGGCAAAAUGGUGCCGUAACUUCGGGAGAAGGCACGCUGACACGUAGGUGAAGUGAUUUACUCAUGGAGCUGAAGUCAGUCGAAGAUACCAGCUGGCUGCAACUGUUUAUUAAAAACACAGCACUGUGCAAACACGAAAGUGGACGUAUACGGUGUGACGCCUGCCCGGUGCCGGAAGGUUAAUUGAUGGGGUCAGCGCAAGCGAAGCUCCUGAUCGAAGCCCCGGUAAACGGCGGCCGUAACUAUAACGGUCCUAAGGUAGCGAAAUUCCUUGUCGGGUAAGUUCCGACCUGCACGAAUGGCGUAAUGAUGGCCAGGCUGUCUCCACCCGAGACUCAGUGAAAUUGAACUCGCUGUGAAGAUGCAGUGUACCCGCGGCAAGACGGAAAGACCCCGUGAACCUUUACUAUAGCUUGACACUGAACAUUGAGCCUUGAUGUGUAGGAUAGGUGGGAGGCUUUGAAGUGUGGACGCCAGUCUGCAUGGAGCCGACCUUGAAAUACCACCCUUUAAUGUUUGAUGUUCUAACGUGGACCCGUAAUCCGGGUUGCGGACAGUGUCUGGUGGGUAGUUUGACUGGGGCGGUCUCCUCCUAAAGAGUAACGGAGGAGCACGAAGGUUGGCUAAUCCUGGUCGGACAUCAGGAGGUUAGUGCAAUGGCAUAAGCCAGCUUGACUGCGAGCGUGACGGCGCGAGCAGGUGCGAAAGCAGGUCAUAGUGAUCCGGUGGUUCUGAAUGGAAGGGCCAUCGCUCAACGGAUAAAAGGUACUCCGGGGAUAACAGGCUGAUACCGCCCAAGAGUUCAUAUCGACGGCGGUGUUUGGCACCUCGAUGUCGGCUCAUCACAUCCUGGGGCUGAAGUAGGUCCCAAGGGUAUGGCUGUUCGCCAUUUAAAGUGGUACGCGAGCUGGGUUUAGAACGUCGUGAGACAGUUCGGUCCCUAUCUGCCGUGGGCGCUGGAGAACUGAGGGGGGCUGCUCCUAGUACGAGAGGACCGGAGUGGACGCAUCACUGGUGUUCGGGUUGUCAUGCCAAUGGCACUGCCCGGUAGCUAAAUGCGGAAGAGAUAAGUGCUGAAAGCAUCUAAGCACGAAACUUGCCCCGAGAUGAGUUCUCCCUGAGACUUUAAGUCUCCUGAAGGAACGUUGAAGACGACGACGUUGAUAGGCCGGGUGUGUAAGCGCAGCGAUGCGUUGAGCUAACCGGUACUAAUGAACCGUGAGGCUUAACCUU
rnacentral:rRNA from 1 species